UGACCGGAGUAACGACGACUGUGUCCUCGUUAGCUUCGCCUGUUUUUCCAUUUCUUCGUAACGAUAAAAAAACGAAAACAGUU
rnacentral:sRNA from 1 species